rnacentral:lncRNA from 1 species
CCCUGGUAAGGAAAGUGGAGAUUUAGGGGUGUCUGGGGGGACCCCGUCUGCACAGGCACAGAGACUGAGUAGUGCUGGGUGGGAGGCCAGCCCCUGCUGUGAGUCAGUGUCCCUGUCCCCCCAGCAGAGACACCGAAGGUCAGUCCCUGCUGGAAGCGGCUGCAUCUUCCUGUCAGCCCUGGUUUCCAUGGUGACUGGCGUCACGCUGCCACCCGAGUAUGGCUGACCUUCCUGCAGAGAGAGGAGCCGCAGUCUUUUGCUUGUGGAAGGAGACGCUGGGCUGUGCGGUGCGGAGGGUGAUGAGGAUGUCUGGUGACAGCCGUGCGGACACCACUCCUCUCUGCAGCACUGCCUCCCAGCGCCAGGGUCGCGGGCACAUCCCACUGAGAGCGGGGGUCCUGCCCCAUCUUAGAGUCAAAGGCAGAGGGGCUUCCAGGCCCUGGAUGGGGUAUUUUGGUGUCACCUGAAGUCCCUCUGACAUCACCUUGUUUCAUCAUUUUUUAUGACAGAAUUAGAAACCCAUCCUUCAAGCACAAUAAUCAUCACAGACUUGAGUUUGCUUCCUAAAGCAAAGGCUCCGGGUUUGUUUGGAAAAUUUUUUUGAUUUCUGAAAUGAAUUGAUUUUUAUAUUUGGGGCAUCUCUAUAGAAAGUGACCACCAAGGCCAGUAAGUACGGGAAAAAAUGUUUACUAACUUCCUCAGAGAUUCGUGAUACGCGUUUCUCCACUGACAGACAUUUAAAAACAACCUUCAGCUCCGUUUCAAUCAAUCACCUCGACUUGUUUUUUAGCAUGGACACUGCCAGCAGGACAGACAGGGAUGGAGUAAACCGAAGUCAAUUUCAGGGCUCUUGGCGUGUUGGACACAGAAGAAAUCCUAGUGCAGCCUUUGGUAGCUAACAGUCACUGAUUUUAUAAUUGGAGAAUGCGUAAAGAUUCAUUUUUCAAGGAGAAGAGCCUGCAAAUGGCCAAUGAAGGAGGUAAAUAAACUAAGAUAUUCCGAGGGAAGGGACCCAGGCCACCUCCCUUCCGCAGGUCUGCAGAUGAAGGGUUUUUUGAAUGAAAUGCCACUGUGCAUUUUCAGAAAAAAAAAUCUCUGAUAAACAGACUUUGAAUGGAUGUUUGUUCCUCCUGAUUCUCUUUUCUCUUCGUGGCGACUUAGAGUUGGCGGAUAUUCGGAACUGUGAAUGUACAUAGCGUUGAGUUAAACCCCUUGUGUGUGAGACAGGACGCAGCGGGCCCCUGGUGGCCUGGGGGCCAGACCCGUGGGCAGGUGGGG